UACGAAGGGGGCUAGCGUUGCUCGGAAUCACUGGGCGUAAAGGGUGCGUAGGCGGGUCUUUAAGUCCGGGGGGAAAUCCUGGAGCUCAACUCCAGAACUGCCUUUGAUACUGAAGAUCUUGAGUUCGGGAGAGGUGAGUGGAACUGCGAGUGUAGAGGUGAAAUUCGUAGAUAUUCGCAAGAACACCAGUGGCGAAGGCGGCUCACUGGCCCGAUACUGACGCUGAUGCACGAAAGCGUGGGGAGCAAACAGG
rnacentral:rRNA from 1 species